UGGGGAAUAUUGCGCAAUGGGCGAAAGCCUGACGCAGCGACGCCGCGUGAGGGAUGAAGGUCUUCGGAUCGUAAACCUCUGUCAGCAGGGAAGAAAUUUUUAGUGUGCUAAUCAGCAUUAAAUUGACGGUACCUGCAAAGGAAGCACCGGCUAACUCCGUGCCAGCAGCCGCGGUAAUACGGAGGGUGCGAGCGUUAAUCGGAAUUACUGGGCGUAAAGCGCUCGUAGGUGGUAUGUCAAGUCAAGGGUGAAAUCCCCUGCGCUCAACGCGGGAACUGCCUUUGAAACUGGCAGACUGGAGUGUGUGAGAGGAUAGUGGAAUUCCAGGUGUAGGAGUGAAAUCCGUAGAUAUCUGGAGGAACAUCAGUGGCGAAGGCGACUAUCUGGCACAUAACUGACACUGAGGAGCGAAGCGUGGGUAGCAAACAGGAUUAGAUACC
rnacentral:rRNA from 1 species